AAGAGAAGGGUUACUUCAGGUCACAGACAUUACCAAUGGAUUGUGGUGUCCAACACCCAGCCAAUCCCGUUACGUUUUCUUAGUCACGUGACGUGACGCUUGUGGCGCAGACUGAAGGAAAACCAGCAUCACGGAGGCGGUCAUGGAAGCUAACGCUAACUCAACGGCCCUCGGUUUUAAUGCACAUCGAUACCAACCACAAAUUAAUACGGAUUGAGCGACUGUGGAGAGACCUGUGGGCAGCUGUAACAUGCAUCUAUUAUGAUGUGCUACACUACCUUGAAGCAGAGGGAUACCUCAACAUUUCAAAUGUUGCACACCUCUUCUGUUGCCAAUAUGUCUUCCUGCCAUGCCUGCAGGAUGAUCUGGAUACUUUCCUCAGUGGCUGGGACAAUCACCCACUUCGUACUGAAAAUAACAUGACUCCUAACCAGCUCUGGGUUCUUCGUCGUGGACAUCAUCCAAUUCCUGAACCACCCAGUUCCUUGACAAAAGGUGUACAGCUGCCAGACAUUGAAUGGGAAGACAGUGGGCUCCUUCCUGAAGACGAGUCCAAUGUGACAGUGCCUAGCUCUAAUGUGCAACUGACUGUUGAACAAAUGGCAGCUUUAAGACAUGCAGUAAACCCGAAAGCCACAUCUCUGUCUUUUGGCUCUGAUGUUUACACUUCUGCUGUUCACGUUUGUGAACAGUUUUUUCCUCUCUAAGUUAUCCACAAUUAAAACUGAACAUUUCUGAAAUGUAAAGCAUAAUGCUGUUCAUGUGUUUCUAAAAAUAAAUGUGUUUUUCUUUUCUUUCUACA